rnacentral:rRNA from 1 species
GUGGGGAAUUUUGGACAAUGGGGGCAACCCUGAUCCAGCCAUCCCGCGUGUGCGAUGAAGGCCUUCGGGUUGUAAAGCACUUUUGGCAGGGAAGAAAAGGUGCCGGUGAAUACCCGGCGCCGCUGACGGUACCUGCAGAAUAAGCACCGGCUAACUACGUGCCAGCAGCCGCGGUAAUACGUAGGGUGCAAGCGUUAAUCGGAAUUACUGGGCGUAAAGCGUGCGCAGGCGGCUCGGAAAGAAAGAUGUGAAAUCCCAGGGCUUAACCUUGGAAUGGCAUUUUUAACUCCCGAGCUAGAGUAUGUCAGAGGGGGGUAGAAUUCCACGUGUAGCAGUGAAAUGCGUAGAGAUGUGGAGGAAUACCGAUGGCGAAGGCAGCCCCCUGGGAUAAUACUGACGCUCAUGCACGAAAGCGUGGGGAGCAAACAGGAUUAGAAACCCCUGUAGUCC